rnacentral:lncRNA from 1 species
AUGCAAAGAAGCUCUGCUGGAGGCAAAAGAUUUCGAGGACCUGUGGUGCAGUGGACAGGACCCAGCCUGUACCCCGAGGACUCACCCCGAGAUAAACAGGAUAAAUCAUUCUCCUCUACAGUCCUCUCCUACCCUUCCUGGAGCCUCCGCUGUGGUCGACGCUAUGCAGACCGCAGGAACUCAGGGACCCAUUUGUGUCUCAAAGCAGUGUGCAGUGUGCUGAAGACACCCUAAAAACAGUAGUUGCCGACGUUCCAUCUACCCUUCCACCCAUUCAGUAGUGGAAAACUAUAAUAAUGAUACAUGAUACUCCCUCUCUGUGGCUUUUGAGCAUUGCCAUUUAACAACAAUCCUAAGACCAAAGAUGACUGAACAGUCAUUUCUCGUAUUUCCCCUGCAUUCAUGGCUAUUCUCUUUGUUAACUGCAAGUAAUAGGGAGCUAUUCCUUGUUUGCUGAGUGUGUAUGUCCCAAACUCCAUUAAUUCUCAACGAGCCCUAGGAUGCAGGCAUUACAGGUGGGACUGUCUCCCUGUUCUGAUGAGGAAAACAUAAAGAUUAGACAAUCUGCCAUAAUGAAAUAUGGGAUGAUGAGAUGUGCUACUAGAUUGGCAGCUGCUUUAAGUCUAUCCAAAUAUUACGUAUAUAUGUACACGUCUGUGUGUAUAUAUAUUAGAUUCCUGAAGGCUCCUUGAAAGCGUAACUAGUCACAAUGAUUUGUGCACACUGGAGGGGUUCUCCCACAUGGAAGAAGUCGUGUUGCUGUAAAUAGUUUUUUUAAUCCUGUGCUCUGUAUCCCCGUCACUUAGAAAAGGCUUUGUGGAAGAUUGUAGGUUUCUGACUUUGGUAGUACGACGGCCUCCUGCUUGCCCUGUGUCUCCAUCUCCGUGUUCUUCACUCCGUUUGGGCAGACAUCCCUGCUGGGUCCCCCUGAAGUUUCUGCCUGUUUGCAUCUGGCCCAUCUCGGUGUUCACCAGAGCACAGAUCUCCUGGGGAAGCUUUCACCAACCCGGGAUCAGCAUCCUGGCCCUGCUCUGACAAAUUCCCACAAACACGGGCAUAAAGCAAGGCGAGGCCUGCUGGGCAUACCUCCACCAUGGGCCUUGUCACUGCAUACUGUAUUUGCUGGCUGGUCUUUCUGGUUGUCUUCAUGGGAACUCGUAGAAGAUAAGGAUGGAAUGGCAUUUUGGGUAAGAAUGAAUGAAUGAAUGAAUGAAUGAAUGCUAUAUUUAUUCUUGUGUUGAUUCUUGCAUUGUUCCUCCUGGUUGAAAUUGGACUCAAUUAGCUUUGUAGGAUGGGGAGAGCUAAGCAAAAGUUUUAUUUGCGAGGAGCCUGUGGGCAUGCCCACAGAGAUAAAGUCAUUACAGUCAGGAUUUAUGGCUUCUUCUCUCCAUAACGUGUUAUGGCUUUUUCCACUCCUUCAGUCAGACUCGCUAGAAAUUGGUCUCCAGGGAGCUGAGUUAGGGUAUUCACACUCUCUGCACUGGUUUGCCAGGAAGCAUACUGGUUGACCCCUGCUGUCCUGCUAAUUAUGAAAGAUGCCUUUCACUCUCUACUUGCCCUGAUUUUGAUAUUAGAUUAUAGUCACUCUACAAAGAUUAAUAUUUUCAACAUCAAAUAUUAUCAAUUUUUGGAGGGGAGCAAAGAAAAAGAAUAUAAACAAAUGGAAUAUCUGUAAUGACCCUGACUUCACACACGUUACUUCCUCAAAGCUUAGAACAAUCACCGUGAUUCCUGAGAAAGUUAAGCACAAGAAGAAAAUUACGGUUUUAAAAAGUGACAGGUGUUCGACAGGUGUUCCAGUCAGCCUCAAAUGCCAGUAUUUCCAAUUACAUAUUUUGUGUUGAAAGACAAGAGUUUCUUUCUUAUGCUACCCUCGCCUCCCCCCAACCCCAUCUUGGCUAAAGAGUGAUGUGAAGGGAACUCAGUUUCACUGAGAAAUGGUGGCAGGACUCAUUGAUGUCCUGAGAAGUAAAGAGAAUGUUAGCCUUGGACAGAGUCCAAUUGCACCAGCAAGCAAGGUGCAGAUGGGCUGAGCUGCAAGCAAACUCGCCAUGUGCUCCAAGGAAGAGGAAAGAGCGGAGGACAGACAGUUGAGGAGUUCACAAACAGAACAUGUCUGAGAGCCAUCUAAACCAACAACUCGCGUCUUGCCUUGAAGCCAGGCCUACACAACGCUAGGGGAAUAAAGAGAUUGUGAAUUGAAAGACGGUAUUUGAAGAUGAGCCUGGGUAUGGCAGGUGUGCGCACAAGGAUCUUGCUUGGAUCCAUUUGAAAAUGAGUAAAUGCAGCUUAAAAUAUCAGGAAACAGCAGGAGGGAAACGCAAGAGAUUCAUGAUCUGAAGAUUCAUGAUUUGAAGAACUGAACCAAUUUCUUUCAAAAAAAAAUAAUAACACAAGUGGUGAAAAAAGUAAGAGAAAAGGAGACUGUUCAAUAAUUCUGAAAAUCACUUGUUCAAAUACCAGGACAAUAGCACGAUAAAUAUUUACUGUGAGCCGGAUCUAUCAAGUAGGAGCCAGGCAGAAUGAGAAGACUGCUUUUUGACAUCACAGUAAUUAAUAAACAAAGACUGAUAUGAAAUUAUUUGUCCAUCCCUAACACUUUACUCAUUUUUCACAAUUGCCUAUAAAACAUCUACAACUUAUCAUCACAGAAAGAUCAUAAAUAACAGUUUGCCUUUUAUUUUCUUUAAUAGACCAUACAUUUAUAUCCGUUCUCCUGACAGAACCAUUACUGUGCAGUGAAGAGAAACUUAAUAAUAUUUGAAAAACAGUGAUUUUAUAUUUGGAUGAUAUGCAGAUCUCCUGCUAUGUAUGUGGAAAAUGGAAUUAUUGCUAGAAAUGUUAUUUAAAGAUUAGGGCACGGAAGUCGUAUUAAGAGGUCAUUAAGUUCCUUCUGCAGAAAGGAACUUAUCUCGACUCAUUCAAAGAGCUUCGUGCCACUUUGAGGUCCUUCUGCAAAAUUUAAAUUGCUCAACAAAAGACCAUC